rnacentral:rRNA from 1 species
AGGUCUGGCACAACCACUGGAAACGGUGGCUAAUACCGGAUGUGCCUUUAGGGGUGAAAGGUUAACUGCCUGAAGAUGAGCUCGCGUCUGAUUAGCUAGUUGGUGUGGUAAGAGCGCACCAAGGCGACGAUCAGUAGCUGGUCUGAGAGGACGAUCAGCCACACUGGGACUGAGACACGGCCCAGACUCCUACGGGAGGCAGCAGUGGGGAAUUUUCCGCAAUGGGCGAAAGCCUGACGGAGCAAUACCGCGUGAGGGAGGAAGGCUCUUGGGUCGUAAACCUCUUUUCUCAGGGAAGAACACAAUGACGGUACCUGAGGAAUAAGCAUCGGCUAACUCCGUGCCAGCAGCCGCGGUAAUACGGAGGAUGCAAGCGUUAUCCGGAAUGAUUGGGCGUAAAGCGUCCGCAGGUGGCUAUGUAAGUCUGCUGUUAAAGAGUCUAGCUCAACUAGAUAAGAGCAGUGGAAACUACAAGGCUAGAGUGCGUUCGGGGCAGAGGGAAUUCCUGGUGUAGCGGUGAAAUGCGUAGAGAUCAGGAAGAACACCGGUGGCGAAGGCGCUCUGCUAGGCCGCAACUGACACUGAGGGACGAAAGC